UGGCUCAGAUUGAACGCUGGCGGCAGGCCUAACACAUGCAAGUCGAACGGUAGCAGGAUGUGCUUGCACAUCGCUGACGAGUGGCGGACGGGUGAGUAAUGCUUGGGAACUUGCCUUUGCGAGGGGGAUAACAGUUGGAAACGACUGCUAAUACCGCAUAAUGUCUACGGACCAAACGGGGCUUAGGCUUCGGCGCAGAGAGAGGCCCAAGUGAGAUUAGCUAGUUGGUGGGGUAAAGGCUCACCAAGGCAACGAUCUCUAGCUGUUCUGAGAGGAAGAUCAGCCACACUGGAACUGAGACACGGUCCAGACUCCUACGGGAGGCAGCAGUGGGGAAUAUUGCACAAUGGGGGAAACCCUGAUGCAGCCAUGCCGCGUGUGUGAAGAAGGCCUUCGGGUUGUAAAGCACUUUCAGUUGUGAGGAAAAGUGAGUAGUUAAUAC
rnacentral:rRNA from 1 species